rnacentral:lncRNA from 10 species
AUUAAAACCUUAUGGUCUUGGGAUCUAUGGUCUUGUGAGAAAUGUGGCACACUGAGCGGUGCAACUGAUCUUAAUUUAGAGCUUAACUCUGGCUCUUCAGCUGUGACGUGCACCGCAGGUAACGUUCUUCAGUGUAGUUUUAAGUUAUCUUCCUUCCUGAAUUCUUUGGGAGUUUGCAAGCUUGGACGUGCCGAAAUCUUGCCAUGUUGUACGUUGGGCUGUGAACUCCUUUGAGGACUGGAUUUUCAGCAUUUCUCCAUUGCCCAGGGCUUAACACCGCGCCUGAUACCCAUUACUGCUCAAAACAAUGUUUUAUAGAAUACAAUGGAAAGGGAUUACGUUUUCUAUACAUGAUCAUCAUCCUUUUGUUUUAAGGUUAUUACGACCUAUUGCCCUGCUAACAACGAGCCAAUAGCAAGAGUCCGACAGGCCAGUGUGGCAGACUAUGAAGAAACUGUAAAGAAAGCAAGAGAAGCAUGGAAAAUCUGGGCAGAUAUUCCUGCUCCAAAACGAGGAGAAAUAGUAAGACAGAUUGGCGAUGCCUUGCGGGAGAAGAUCCAAGUACUAGGAAGCUUG